rnacentral:misc_RNA from 1 species
AAGUUUUCAAAGGUUUGGAAAAAAAAAAAUUUAAUCUGCUCUUCUUGAACAGAGAAGAAAAGUUAUCAGUGAAGAAAGAACAUUAACACUUUUCUCUUUUAAACUUGAAAUUCUUUUGAUUUAUAACAAUUUGACAAGAAAAGUGUUUCAAAAGAAGGAGAAUAAUUAUCAAUAACGAAUGAAAUAGCUUUCUCGUCGUGAAACUUGUAAAGCCAAGUAUUUCGGUAGCAUGGUUGUAGAAUCGGUGCGUCGGAUCUCUAUGCACAAUGAAUGCUGGCACAAGGAGUUACCGCAAUGGUGCCAUUUGCUGCCGGAAACGUUGACCAGGGUAUCGUAAAGAAGUUCAGAGAAGCCUCGAAAAUGCUCACUGGAAGACGACUUCUUUCCUUUGCGUGGCUGAAAGAAAUUGAAUUUACCGUUUCGCGAGAACCACUAAGAUCUAGCAACGUUCGAAUCUCGUGGCCAUCUUGGACCCAUCUUAGAGAAGCCAUUAAAGAGAAACGAAAUAGGCCACGUGGCAAACGAAUCCCUGAUGGAAUGUUAAAGUUCGACGUCCAUGAAAGGAAACCAUUUCUCAACCAACUCUUCGAACGGUAACGAUAGUAGAAGAAAAGAAGGGGCAUGAAGGAAGUUUCGCAGAAACGUAAUAACUCUGGCAAAGAUUAGACGGAUAAGGGGGAACCGUCAAGACGUCUACUUCGAGGAAUCUAAUUAAUCUUAAUCAAUAGAAGAAUUUAAUUCGUAAGAGUAAGUACGUCUAUCGCUUAGAAAUUAACGUUCAAUAAAUGAUCUGAAGGAGAUAGAGGAUCAAGGAGUGCGUCGUAAAGAUUUAUGGUUCAUGAAUCAACGUGAAGACACGAAACGUGGAAUCCAUCUUGGAAACUAUUGGAUGAAAGGAAGAAUGCUUGCACAUUGUCGACAGACACCAGGAACGAGAAUCUGAACAAGAUUAGGCUAGUUUCCAAGUCAACCGAAAGGACAGCCGUGCCACGCGACACUUUGCCGGCGACUGGUCCCUAAUGAUCGUUCGCAUUUGUCGAAUUUAAUUCCGGAUAUUCGAUUCCUAAAUGCCUCGGGGCGAGACGAAAGCCAGCUGCCGGUCGAAUCGAUUCGAACAUAUCCCUGCUGGAGUUCAAGGGGUUGGAUAGUUAUCGGAAACGUGGCUAAAAACGAUAGACUAUAGAAGACGGGAAUGAAAUACUAUCUUGACCCUGUUUACCAGCCAGUCGGCCUAUAGAUUCUUUGCUUAUGAGUCGCUUGUUUAAACUGAUAUCUGAUAACACAGUUUCCUUGAUCGCAAUCAUAUAGUAUCUACCAGUAUUACUCGAUAAUAUUUCAUCACUUGUCGCAUGUAGAUGUGGGUCGGUCAAUUAAUUAAAUUGGAUUUUUCUUCUUAAAAAAUAUGAUAUAAAUGAAUUAAAAAAAAAAAGAAUGUCGUUAUAGUCGAUAUAACUUACAUUCUGCUGCUACUUUUAUAUACAAACAAUUGUCGAAUUGCAUUUACAAAAAUUUUUUACUAUAUGAUUUAUAUUGUUUUUGUGAAAUAAUAUUCUGCAAGAUAACAUUUAUCUUAUAUAAUGUUAUUCGAUAAAUAUUUGUAAUAUCAUAUUGGCAAAUGAAUCAUUGCAUACAUUUAAUGAUUAUUGAUAUGUAAUGUACAAUAUAUAUUGAUAAAACAUAUGAUUACAGGGUGAAAAAUAAUUAACAAAAGCAAUGCAUAACGAAUAGUAGAGAUUGACAAGGCCAAGAAAUAGUUAAAGGAAUACUGGAAAUGCUCGCGCCUUGCGACAUUAAUCCAUUUUCAGAUAACCAUGCUCUCUGGUCGCUUAAACUGUUUCCUCUGUCGUCAGACAAAACGACAAGACAAUCGGAUCUUUUACGAAUUAUGCACAAUUAUGUCACGGUCGUGGAUAUUAAAAAUUUUUAAAUUUUGAAUAUCAUUUUCAAAUUUUUAUGUAAGCAUAAAAACGUCUAAUCGAUAGAAAUUGCGCAUGAACGAACAAUGCACUUUACGUUUAAUAGCGUUGUUAAAAAUUAUGAUUAUGAAUUGGAAAAUGGCUUGAAAGUUUUGAAACUAGAGGAGAAUCUUUAUAGUUCAACGGGUUAGAACAAAGAUAUUGAGAUCACAGUAUUUCUGACAACUAUCCACAUUGCAAAUGCUGCUCUUACAAACAAUAAUUAUAGAAAAUCAUGUAAGACAACAUAAAAACUCGAAUAUUUAUGAAAUCUCAUGAUAGACUGAGAAAUAAUGUACACAUCACAUAUUUUCAAUUUUGAAUAUCAUUUCACAUUCAACCCAUAUACAUUUCACGUGUUUACAAGUUGAUUCAACAAAAGAUUUCUUCCUUUUCAUUUUACAGAAUCUGCCUCGAUCAUUAAGCGAAGAUAAUCACGAUGGCGGACGCAUAACUUGAUCAAUCCUCGACGAUCUUGGCGAUGUAUUUUUUUUUUUCUUCUCCUUAUUUCUUUUCCUUAUUUCUCUCUCCCUUUUUAGUUCGCAGUUGCGCAAUCUUCCCCGUACUUUGAACGGUCUCGUUUUACCGUCUGCUCCGCUCCUUCGAGCAGAUUUAUUCUAUUUAUUCGCUCAACCUCGAGGGAAGUCGGCCGAUUACGUCGAAAUUCCUUCUCCAAAGCCCUCCGAAUCGACCUCUUUCCAAUCUUUCUCUCGCUCUUCCUUUUUUCCCCUCUCCUCCCUCUCUUUUUCUCUCUUCUAGCCAAGCUUUCGAGUGUUUACUCGCGUGUUCGAGUUCUGUCAGUAUCACACGCUCUCCGCCAAACAAAUCGAUCGUCUCCUAUCGCCGCCUCUUUUCGCCGAUUUUCGCCCGCCUUUCGACUCGACCGAUCCCCCGGGACCACGAAGCUUUUGCGGGUGAGAAAGGCAAGACCAGCAAGAUCAAUUCGAAGCAAUGAACGGUAUAUGCAUCGUUUCCACGAUACAACAAUACACGUAACAAAUGUUCUCUCACAAAUAUAAUAAGCGUCCACCUGAAAUAUACAAUCUAGAUAAAACGACAAAGUUAAAUUCUACUUACAUGUCCAAGGAUCAGCCACGUUGAACGACCGGCUUAGGUACGAAGUUCUCGUCGCCUGGUGCGAGGAGAAUCGGCUUGGCAACCGAUGGAGUCGCGCGUGUGAACGUCCCUCGACACACAACGUGCACGCUUAUCCGGGCUUCACAGCCGCGUCUUCCCUUCUAUUGCGACGUCGCACCUCCUCAUCUCGCCAUCACUUGUCCACGCAGAGAUUCUUCCUCACUUUCCUUCACUAAAAAUUCCAUCUGUCGUAUCUUCCUCCGAAAACACAAGAUA